AGUGAUGCUGUUCCCUGUGCUCUCUCUCCGCUCAUACCUGAGAUAUAUCAUGGAGCAGCCAUCUCAACCUGGUGAUCCUGCCCUUUCACAGAGACCCUAUGCAGGGUGGCUGUACCCUCCCAUGGCACUCUCAGCACUGGUUUGGAUCAUUUUCUCAUUUGAAGCAACAGACAGAGUGGUACACUUACCCAGUCUUCCCAGUUUGCCCUGCGGUUGGAUGUGGCCUGAGACUGGUUCUGCUGAUGGAUGAUGACGGGAGGUGACCUGCAUCCCUCCCAGGUCUGGCCGCCAUGCUCUUUCCCUUCUCUGGGUCACUGACACGAUGAUGCUCAGGACAACCUUGAAAGCCACACGUUGAAGAUGGAGGAAUCGCUAUCAACCUGGGUGCUCUGACAACCGAACAUGUCCUCUGGACUGUUAUGUGUGCAAGAAAGAACUUCUGUUGCGUUCAAGCCAUUAUAUUCUGGGUCUAUUUGUCACCCCAGUUUAGCCUAUUCCAACAGACAUACUCUUCUGACCAUUUGGUUAUCCCAGGCCUAUGUUCAAUGACACAGAUGACUUCUCUGAAGCCAACCACUGUGCCUGAAUCCAGCAAAGAAAACCAGAGAUGUAGAGAAAGCAGCCAGCGAAGGACAACCAGGAGGAGGUACCUGCACGGCUCUGCCAUUGACGUCUGAGCCAACGGAGGCUGCUGUGGCAAUUGUGUUAGGCACCGUGGCUGUACUGGUUUCACAGAUGUGCAUGUAGGACAUGGGUAUUUUUAAUUCACGGCUGGCCACCUAUGGAAAAAGAAAUAAUUUCAAGUCUGGUAAGGACUUCUGUGAAGAUUUGAGUCAUUAUUUUUCUUAGUUAAGAAAUGACUAUUUUUAAAAUUAUAUCCACAGUAUCCUUUAAAACUUAAGAUAGUGUGUCAUAAUUAUCAAAACCACUUUUUAGUAGGGCCUCAUGCUGAUUUUUCAAGUAUUUUCUUGGUAAUAUUUCACAGUAGUUCUUCCAUUCAAAUUGAUUGCGUUUAGGAUGUUAAGGAUUUCCUUUUUCUAUAAAUUUACAGGUGUAGAGAGUAGGCCAAGUUGAGAUUACUUGGUGGUAGUGGCAGGAAGAGAGACAGAAAUUAGAUGGACUGACUCAGAGUCUGGUCUUAAAUCUGCUGGUGUUGGUAUCUGACGAUCUUGGAGUGACUCUGAGGGCCUGUCUUCUUUCUUGCCCUCAUUCCCACCUUAACUUGAGCUCCCUCUUUUCUUCUAUUUGUUCCCACUUGCUUGUACUCCUUUAGUAAGUGCUGUUCAUUUUUUUCUUUUCUGCUUUUUUCCUUCCAGUUUCUCUAGCAGACUUAUGCGGAAAUUAAGAUAUUUGAUCGAGAAGAAAUGAAAAAGAAAGAAAGUGAGGGGAGGAAAGAAAAGAAAAAAAGCAUUAUUUUUGCUGCUGAUGUCUUUUGGUUUUUGCAGAGACACUUUCUGUAGAUGUCUGCAGGUAUGUACCUGUUCCCAAAUGCCAGUCUUCAGAUGAAUGCUGUUCAGUGAUCAAGUUUCCCCAGAAAGAUGCAAAA